rnacentral:rRNA from 1 species
UACAGAGGUCUCAAGCGUUGUUCGGAUUCAUUGGGCGUAAAGGGUGUGUAGGCGGCGCGUUAAGUCGGGUGUGAAAUUUCGGAGCUUAACUCCGGAACUGCAUUCGAUACUGGCGUGCUUGAGGACUGGAGAGGAGGCUGGAAUUUACGGUGUAGCAGUGAAAUGCGUAGAUAUCGUAAGGAAGACCAGUGGCGAAGGCGGGUCUCUGGACAGUUCCUGACACUGAGGCACGAAGGCCAGGGGAGCAAACGGG